UACGUAGGGUGCAAGCGUUGUCCGGAAUUAUUGGGCGUAAAGAGCUUGUAGGCGGUUUGUCGCGUCUGCUGUGAAAUUUCGGGGCUCAACCCCGAACUUGCAGUGGGUACGGGCAGACUAGAGUGUGGUAGGGGAGACUGGAAUUCCUGGUGUAGCGGUGAAAUGCGCAGAUAUCAGGAGGAACACCGGUGGCGAAGGUGGGUCUCUGGGCCGUAACUGACGCUGAGGAGCGAAAGCAUGGGGAGCGAACAGG
rnacentral:rRNA from 1 species